rnacentral:rRNA from 1 species
ACGCGAAAGGGGCUUCGGCCCUGAGUAGAGUGGCAAACGGGUGAGUAACACGUGGGUGACCUGCCUUCGAGUGGGGGAUAACGUCCCGAAAGGGACGCUAAUACCGCAUGACAUCCUGCUCUUGGACGAGCGGAAAUCAAAGCUGGGGAUCGCAAGACCUGGCGCUUGAAGAGGGGCCCGCGCCUGAUUAGCUAGUUGGUGGGGUAAUGGCCUACCAAGGCGACGAUCAGUAUCCGGCCUGAGAGGGCGGACGGACACACUGGGACUGAGACACGGCCCAGACUCCUACGGGAGGCAGCAGUGGGGAAUUGUUCGCAAUGGGCGCAAGCCUGACGACGCAACGCCGCGUGGAGGAUGAAGAUCUUCGGGUCGUAAACUCCUGUCGAGCGGGACGAACACCUGCCGGUUUAACACGCCGGUAGGCUGACGGUACCGCUAAAGGAAGCCCCGGCUAACUCCGUGCCAGCAGCCGCGGUAAUACGGGGGGGGCAAGCGUUG